rnacentral:rRNA from 1 species
AUUGAACGCUGGCGGCAGGCUUAACACAUGCAAGUCGAGCGGAGUGAUGGUGCUUGCACUAUCACUUAGCGGCGGACGGGUGAGUAAUGCUUAGGAAUCUGCCUAUUAGUGGGGGACAACAUCUCGAAAGGGAUGCUAAUACCGCAUACGUCCUACGGGAGAAAGCAGGGGAUCACUUGUGACCUUGCGCUAAUAGAUGAGCCUAAGUCGGAUUAGCUAGCUGGUGGGGUAAAGGCCUACCAAGGCGACGAUCUGUAGCGGGUCUGAGAGGAUGAGCGGCCACCGUGGGACUGAGACACGGCCCAGACUCCUACGGGAGGUAGCAGUGGGGAAUAUUGGACAAUGGGGGGAACCCUGAUCCAGCCAUGCCGCGUGUGUGAAGAAGGCCUUAUGGUUGUAAAGCACUUUAAGCGAGGAGGAGGCUCUUUUGGUUAAUACCCAAGAUGAGUGGACGUUACUCGCAGAAUAAGCACCGGCUAACUCUGUGCCAGCCGCCGCAGUAA